GUUGGUCAAGUCAUUGUGCUACAUAUUAGUAUAGAGCCAAAAUUCUAGAGUCCAUUUUUUGUUGUUGGAAUAGCUAAACUGAUUUAAUCAGAUAGUAGCACAUGUGUUGCUUAUCCCUAUUCUUUUUAUGUUCAAAUUAUUUUAAAAAAGAUAUUAUCUAUAUAUUGUCCUUUAAAACUUGUUUGUUCAUUGUAGAACAAAAUAACCUUAGAUGACACAGAAACAUAUGAAUGUCUAUU
rnacentral:lncRNA from 1 species